CAGCAGCCGCGGUAAUACGAAGGUCCCGAGCGUUGUUCGGAAUCACUGGGCGUAAAGGGAGCGUAGGCGGCGUGGUAAGUCAGAUGUGAAAUCCCGGGGCUCAACCCCGGAACUGCAUCCGAUACUGCCGUGCUAGAGGAUUGGAGAGGUAGCUGGAAUUCUUGGUGUAGCAGUGAAAUGCGUGGAGAUCAAGAGGAACACUCGUGGCGAAAGCGAGCUACUGGACAAUAACUGACGCUGAGGCUCGAAGGCCAGGGUAGCAAAAGGGAUUAGAUACCCCCGUAGUCCCUGUCUCUUAUAU
rnacentral:rRNA from 1 species